UCGGUUCUUUUUUUAGUUCCUUGCUUCCUCUGGUUAACCGAGCCAAAUCUGGAAGCUGAUUAAUCCGUAAGGAGCAACCAAUG
rfam:Photobacterium profundum SS9